rnacentral:lncRNA from 1 species
AAAAUCACUGUAAACCGAAUCUUUCAUCAAGGUGCCAUUUAUUUUCCCCCAAAUUUUGCUCCACCCGUCAGCUACAUUUUUGCCCAAAUCUUGAGAUCUUUGAGUCGCGGUCGACCAACCAACCGAUGCACCAUUUCUUUAACCCGUUAGCUACAUUUUUCCCCAAAUUUGCAGAUUAUUCAACCUUGGUCUACCAACACGUAUUCUUCGACGCCAACGUCCGAUUCUUGCUAAGACUUUGACCGACCAAUACUUCAUAAGUUAACAUCGCUGUUAGUUCCGAAAUCAGAUUUCUACCUGACCCAACUCAUUUACUCAAAGAUGGAGAUAGACAAAGGUUUGUGUAGUUUCUAAUAAUGUAAAAAUUGUAAUGUGUAAAUGGAUCUUUGUCAUGAAAAUGUGUAAUCCCUCUCCCUUCAUGACACUUCAGUAAUGUUACUCCACCUAGCGUAAUAUGCUCUGAAGAUGACAAAUUCAUUUGUAAGAAUGUUGUUAGCUUAUGUUGCCCAAAUAUAAAUUCUGUUUUUGUUCCUACCUAGAUGAGUUUUGAUAGUGAUCGAAUAUCUUGUACUGGAAAUUAGUUUCUGGAAUUUUGGUUUAACAUUGUAGUUGGUUUUUUGUCACAUGGACAGAAUGUUUGCAAAAUGUGGAUAACAUUAUAUUGGUAGAAUCCGAUAAUGAGAAUUUGAAGGAUGAUAUGAACUUAUUGGGUGAUGAAAACUUAGGCGGAGAGGGUGUAGUUGUUCCUCAAGUGGGUAUAAAGUUCAAGGACGAAGUUGAAUUGUUAGAUUUUUACAAAAGAUAUGCAUACGACAUAAGUUUUCCAGUUAGAAAAUGAAAUUCGAAAAAGGACGAUGAUGGAAUAAUGAGAUAUAUUACGCUAACGUGUAGUCGCGAAAAGCUACAAUGCUACAGUAGUCGAAACAGGUGGAUACGAAAAUAUGACUUGCGUGGAAAAAGAUUGUCGAAAUUAUGUUGAACAAGUUCAGGACUUUAAGACUUGGAGAAUGAGAUGCCGUAGCAAUACAAUCUUACUUUUCGAAAAUGUAAGCAAGUUGCUUGGGGUGUUACUUUAGCAUGGAUUUGGACGAUGAGUCUAGGUUGAAGAAUGUUUUCUGGGUAGAUAAUAGGAGUAGAUAAACGUAUAAAGAGUUCGACGACGUUUUCACGUUCGAUAUGACUUACCUAACUGAUAAGUAGGAGAUGCCUUUUGCCCCUUUUAUCGAGGUGAAUCAUCAUGGACUAUCGACACUAUUUGGAUGUGGUUUGGUGUGGAAUGAGGAUACAGAUAUAUAUUUAUGGCUAUUUAAAACAUGGCUACAGUGCAUGCACGACUAAGCUCCCCAUGGGAUAAUUACAAAUCAAGACAUGGCCAUGCAAAAUGUAAUUGAGAUCGUGUUUCCAAAUUCGAAACACGAAUGAUGUUUGUGGCAUAUAUUAAAGAAAUUACCAGAAAAGUUUGGGUACCAUGUGGACAAGGCUACUAUAUUUCAAUUUAUAUAAGAAUUGGUUUAUGAUUCUCAAUUUGUUGAACAGUUUAAAGAUGGGUGGAGGGCUAUGAUCGAUAUGUAUGCAUUGCAUGACAAUGAUUGGCUAGCGGGACUAUACAAGAAUAGAUGUCGUUGGGUUUCUUGCUAUUUUAAAACCACGUUAUGAGCAAGGAUGUCAACAACCAAUAAAGUGAGAGUAUGAAUGCAUUUUUCGAUGGAUAUGUACAUUCGAAGACAUCAUUAAAGCAAUUCGUUGAACAAUAUGAAAGAGUAUUGAGAAAUAAAGUCGAGAAGGAGUUUCAAGCAGAUUUCAAGUCUUACUCGCAAAUGGUACCAUGUGCAACACGGUAUGAAAUUGAGAAGCGAUUUUAAGCGGUUACACCAUUUCGAAAUUUAGAGAAGUUCAAGAGGAAUUCACUGGAAAGAUGUAUUUCGACCUCGUAUCUACUUUUGUGGGAUGUUCGGGAACGAGGUAUGAGGUGCUAGAGGAUGUCAUCUACGAAUCAAGUUUGAAGAAAAAGAUGUUCUUCGUCUCUUUCCAGCCAAAAAAGUGUGAAACUACUUGUGGUUGCCAUUUAUUCGAGUUUCAAGGAAUACUAUGUAGGCAUGCAAUCACAAUGUUAAUCUGUCACGAUGCCAAAGUAUUGCUAACAAAUAUAUCCUACGCAGAUGGAAGAGAGAUGUGAGUAGAGCUCACAAGAGAGUUGCUGUGACCUACGACAGAUUGGUUAGUACUCCAGGACAGUUGAUGUAUGAUAAAUUGUGAUUGGCUCGAUCAUAAGAUGGUGGUUUUGUUAGUCCAAAUAUGGGUAAAGCAGUGAAGGGCAUUCAGAUGGGAAGGAAGAUAGUGUGGAUUAGUUUAUCUUUCUUGCAUUUCUUUGAUUAUUUUGCUAAUUAUUCAUGUGAAGUUGGUAGAAUGGGACGACAAAGAAGAAGGCAAGGAAGUGACUCGGCAAUGGGAAGAUGAUUCGGAUGAUAACGAUGUCAUAUGACUUUCUAUUGCAACUUUAAUUCCAGCUACUGAACUUCAUUAUGAAACUGUGAAGUUAGUUGCUAUGUUUUGUUAUUACUGUAUUGAAUUCUUAUAAUCAGGAACAAAAAUUUGACCACUUCCUCCCACGUCCAAGAUGCUGGAAAUUUGUGACAUUUUUAGAAUAUUAAUUGUAGAGAUGGUGAAUUUGUGGUAAAAUAAAG